GUGGGACAACUUUUGUCUACAAAUAUAUUCUAUGAUCCUGCUUGAAGUACCAUGACAGAAACGUGUGAUAUUGCCGACGUUUUCCAGCGAGAUCUCAGUUCCCUUUGAUUCACUGCCCGACACUUUCUCCAGGAGAAACUGCCCCACAGAUGUUCCUCCAGAGACUACAAAGAAGGAGGCCUUUAUGAGGAGCGAGUCUAUUUCAGGUCCUCUGCAUUUCCAAGCUGUGUGGCUUUGAAAGGAUGAUUCCAUUGGGCUGAACCUAGAGAAAGGGAACCUCAGUCUAAGCGUGACACGAAGCCUGGACCUAUGUGCAGGAACUCACUCUGAGGACUAUUGUCUUUCAACAUUGACAUGGGGUUUGGGAGCAGGGAGUGGUGAACAACUGGUCUAUCCCUGAGAUAUGUUGACCGCCACCGGAUGCUGGACUGAUCCACUGAGGUACGAACACUGACCAACAGUAAGAAAAGGCCACAAGGAUCAAGCCCUUAUGGAGUGUUACAAAACGUGGUGAGGACACGUGUAAAGUGUUGCAGCUUGCAUGGAGGAUAUAGUCUGUGUUCGUUGCCUGCAAAACUAGCACAUGUUUCUGGGUUUAACGUCACGCCAGACAGGUGUUUAUGCUCAGAAGACAUCUUUAUGGUGAAAUAUCACAGUUAAGGGCUGCAUUUUGUCUGAAAGUAAGAGUGAGGUGAGAAAGGUUAAAAAAAUGAAGGAGACUGAGAAAGGGAAGAAAAAUUUUGGACGCUAGUUCAGUAUGGCCUUGAUAAGAUGUUGGGAUGGGUCCAAUGCAAAAUAUAUGCAACCGAGCACUAAGCACCUGGUAAUACUCUUCAUUAGUGGCUGAUGAUACAACACACAUGCACCAGCACAACUAAAUACAUUACACACAC
ensembl:lncRNA